rnacentral:rRNA from 1 species
AACGACUAUAACCAUGUGUGCAGUCUAGACACCAUUCUUUCUAGGCGACGUUGCCCCUGUGCUGGGACCCUAUCACGGUCGAUAGUGGACCAGCAGCCAGUUUCUGGUUCACAGAUUAGGUGGUGACGGUCCCGGUUUGACGAACCGAGAUCAAGAUAUAAUCGGUCUCUAUAGGCGAUUACUAUAGUUGAAGACGUUCCGUAGGUGAACCUGCGGAAGGAUCAUUA